UACGGGGGGGGCAAGCGUUGUUCGGAUUUACUGGGCGUAAAGGGCGCGUAGGCGGCGAUUGCAAGUCAGUUGUGAAAUCUCCGGGCUUAACCCGGAAAGGUCAACUGAUACUGCAGGGCUAGAGUGCAGAAGGGGCAACUGGAAUUCUCGGUGUAGCGGUGAAAUGCGUAGAUAUCGAGAGGAACACCUGCGGCGAAGGCGGGUUGCUGGGCUGACACUGACGCUGAUGCGCGAAAGCCAGGGGAGCGAACGGG
rnacentral:rRNA from 1 species